rnacentral:rRNA from 1 species
AUGAACGCUGGCGGCGUGCCUAAUCCAUGCAAGUCGAGCGAACAGACGAGGAGCUUGCUCCUCUGACGUUAGCGGCGGACGGGUGAGUAACACGUGGAUAACCUACCUAAAGACUGGGAUAACUUCGGGAAACCGGAGCUAAUAUCGGAUAAUAUAUUGAACCGCAUGGUUCAAUAGUGAAAGACGGUUUUGCUGUCACUUAUAGAUGGAUCCGCGCCGCAUUAGCUAGUUGGUAAGGUAACGGCUUACCAAGGCAACGAUGCGUAGCCGACCUGAGAGGGUGAUCGGCCACACUGGAACUGAGACACGGUCCAGACUCCUACGGGAGGCAGCAGUAGGGAAUCUUCCGCAAUGGGCGAAAGCCUGACGGAGCAACGCCGCGUGAGUGAUGAAGGUCUUCGGAUCGUAAAACUCUGUUAUUAGGGAAGAACAAAUGUGUAAGUAACUAUGCACGUCUUGACGGUACCUAAUCAGAAAGCCACGGCUAACUACGUG